CAGGAUGAACGCUAGCUANACGGCUUAACACAUGCAAGUCGAGGGGCAGCGGGAUUGAAGCUUGCUUCAAUUGCCGGCGACCGGCGCACGGGUGAGUAACGCGUAUCCAACCUUCCGUACACUCAGGGAUAGCCUUUCGAAAGAAAGAUUAAUACCCGAUGGCAUAGUUCUUCCGCAUGGUAGAACUAUUAAAGAAUUUCGGUCAUCGAUGGGGAUGCGUUCCAUUAGGUUGUUGGCGGGGUAACGGCCCACCAAGCCUUCGAUGGAUAGGGGGUUCUGAGAGGAAGGUCCCCCACAUUGGAACUGAGACACGGUCCAAACUCCUACGGGAGGCAGCAGUGAGGAAUAUUGGUCAAUGGACGAGAGUCUGAACCAGCCAAGUAGCGUGAAGGAUGACUGCCCUAUGGGUUGUAAACUUCUUUUAUACGGGAAUAAAGUGAGGCACGUGUGCCUUUUUGUAUGUACCGUAUGAAUAAGGAUCGGCUAACUCCGUG
rnacentral:rRNA from 1 species